ACUUGUCAUAGAUACAGGUAAAUAAGGGUUAAAAAGCCUUUUUGCCUUAGUUAAGUCUUUCCACGUCUGCAUGGGUUUAAAAGAAAGAAUUUUCUCCCUUGGCUGCAAUCGGUAUUCCCUUUUCUCUUUCUCAGGCCAAGCACAACCUCCCUUUUAUCUGUCUUACAGGCCAAUAUAACCUUCGCAAGGUGUAGAGAAGACAUGCUAGACAUGCGCAGUAGAUUCCCUGUAAUACAUAAUGUUAUUUGAAUAAUUAUAAUUUUUUUUCCACUGAUCUUCUAUGAGUGGUUGAUUUUGUCUUCUGUUAGAAUAGAUACACCCCUAUGAAAACUGUGCUGUACCUGCUUUUAAGAAAAAAAGGCACUUCUUUCUUAAACUUCAUAAGGACUGGUUUGCUUUAAUGGUACAUUACUUGUUAUCUGAGGUCAGGGCCGGACUGGCC